rnacentral:rRNA from 1 species
GACGAACGCUGGCGGCGUGCUUAACACAUGCAAGUCGAACGGAAAGACCCUGCUUUUGUGGGCUGCUCGAGUGGCGAACGGGUGAGUAACACGUGAGUAACCUGCCCUUGACUUUGGGAUAACUUCAGGAAACUGGGGCUAAUACCGGAUAGGAUCUCCUGCUGCAUGGUGGGGGUUGGAAAGUUUCGGCGGUUGGGGAUGGACUCGCGGCUUAUCAGCUUGUUGGUGGGGUAGUGGCUUACCAAGGCUUUGACGGGUAGCCGGCCUGAGAGGGUGACCGGCCACAUUGGGACUGAGAUACGGCCCAGACUCCUACGGGAGGCAGCAGUGGGGAAUAUUGCACAAUGGGAGGAAGCCUGAUGCAGCAACGCCGCGUGCGGGAUGACGGUCUUCGGGUUGUAAACCGCUUUCGCCUGUGACGAAGCGUGAGUGACGGUAAUGGGUAAAGAAGCACCGGCUAACUACGUG